AAAUUGAAGAGUUUGAUCAUGGCUCAGAUUGAACGCUGGCGGCAGGCCUAACACAUGCAAGUCGAGCGGAAACGAGUUAUCUGAACCUUCGGGGAACGAUAACGGCGUCGAGCGGCGGACGGGUGAGUAAUGCCUAGGAAAUUGCCCUGAUGUGGGGGAUAACCAUUGGAAACGAUGGCUAAUACCGCAUGAUGCCUWYGGGCCAAAGAGGGGGACCUUCGGGCCUCUCGCGUCAGGAUAUGCCUAGGUGGGAUUAGCUAGUUGGUGAGGUAAGGGCUCACCAAGGCGACGAUCCCUAGCUGGUCUGAGAGGAUGAUCAGCCNGGGCCAAAGAGGGGGACCUUCGGGCCUCUCGCGUCAGGAUAUGCCUAGGUGGGAUUAGCUAGUUGGUGAGGUAAGGGCUCACCAAGGCGACGAUCCCUAGCUGGUCUGAGAGGAUGAUCAGCCACACUGGAACUGAGACACGGUCCAGACUCCUACGGGAGGCAGCAGUGGGGAAUAUUGCACAAUGGGCGCAAGCCUGAUGCAGCCAUGCCGCGUGUGUGAAGAAGGCCUUCGGGUUGUAAAGCACUUUCAGUCGUGAGGAAGGURRUGUAGUUAAUAGCWGCAUUAUUUGACGUUAGCGACAGAAGAAGCACCGGCUAACUCCGUGCCAGCAGCCGCGGUAAUACGGAGGGUGCGAGCGUUAAUCGGAAUUACUGGGCGUAAAGCGCAUGCAGGUGGUUUGUUAAGUCAGAUGUGAAAGCCCGGGGCUCAACCUCGGAAUUGCAUUUGAAACUGGCAGACUAGAGUACUGUAGAGGGGGGUAGAAUUUCAGGUGUAGCGGUGAAAUGCGUAGAGAUCUGAAGGAAUACCGGUGGCGAAGGCGGCCCCCUGGACAGAUACUGACACUCAGAUGCGAAAGCGUGGGGAGCAAACAGGAUUAGAUACCCUGGUAGUCCACGCCGUAAACGAUGUCUACUUGGAGGUUGUGGCCUUGAGCCGUGGCUUUCGGAGCUAACGCGUUAAGUAGACCGCCUGGGGAGUACGGUCGCAAGAUUAAAACUCAAAUGAAUUGACGGGGGCCCGCACAAGCGGUGGAGCAUGUGGUUUAAUUCGAUGCAACGCGAAGAACCUUACCUACUCUUGACAUCCAGAGAACUUUCCAGAGAUGGAUUGGUGCCUUCGGGAACUCUGAGACAGGUGCUGCAUGGCUGUCGUCAGCUCGUGUUGUGAAAUGUUGGGUUAAGUCCCGCAACGAGCGCAACCCUUAUCCUUGUUUGCCAGCGAGUAAUGUCGGGAACUCCAGGGAGACUGCCGGUGAUAAACCGGAGGAAGGUGGGGACGACGUCAAGUCAUCAUGGCCCUUACGAGUAGGGCUACACACGUGCUACAAUGGCGCAUACAGAGGGCAGCCAACUUGCGAAAGUGAGCGAAUCCCAAAAAGUGCGUCGUAGUCCGGAUUGGAGUCUGCAACUCGACUCCAUGAAGUCGGAAUCGCUAGUAAUCGUGGAUCAGAAUGCCACGGUGAAUACGUUCCCGGGCCUUGUACACACCGCCCGUCACACCAUGGGAGUGGGCUGCAAAAGAAGUAGGUAGUUUAACCUUCGGGGGGACGCUUACCACUUUGUGGUUCAUGACUGGGGUGAAGUCGUAACAAGGUAGCGCUAGGGGAACCUGGCGCUGGAUCACCUCCUUAU
rnacentral:rRNA from 1 species